GAUGAACGCUGGCGGCGUGCCUAAUACAUGCAAGUCGAGCGAACGGACGAGAAGCUUGCUUCUCUGAUGUUAGCGGCGGACGGGUGAGUAACACGUGGAUAACCUACCUAUAAGACUGGGAUAACUUCGGGAAACCGUAGCUAAUACCGGAUAAUAUUUUGAACCGCAUGGUUCAAAAGUGAAAGACGGUCUUGCUGUCACUUAUAGAUGGAUCCGCGCUGCAUUAGCUAGUUGGUAAGGUAACGGCUUACCAAGGCAACGAUGCAUAGCCGACCUGAGAGGGUGAUCGGCCACACGGGAACUGAGACACGGUCCAGACUCCUACGGGAGGCAGAAGUAGGGAAUCUUCGGCAAUGGGCGAAAGCCUGACGGAGCAACGCCGCGUGAGUGAUGAAGGUCUUCGGAUCGUAAAACUCUGUUAUUAGGGAAGAACAUAUGUGUAAGUAACUGUGCACAUCUUGACGGUACCUAAGCAGAAAGCCACGGCUAACUACGU
rnacentral:rRNA from 1 species